UCGCCACGGUAACACCCGCUCCCCGAGUGGUGGGGACGAUUAUUGGGCUUAAAGCGUCCGUAGCCGGCCUGGCAAGUCCCUCGUUAAAUCCAACGGCCUAACCGUUGGACUGCGGGGGGAUACUGUCAGGCUAGGGGGCGGGAGAGGCCGGCGGUAUUCCCCGGGGUAGGGGUGAAAUCCUAUAAUCCCGGGGAGGACCACCAGUGGCGAAGGC
rnacentral:rRNA from 1 species